rnacentral:lncRNA from 1 species
AUGCUAAUCCAAUUGCCCAAACUCAGCUACAAAGCAGGGAUCAUGGAGGCUGAGAGAGCCAGCUGCACGGCACCGAGGGUGGAGGACCAGGGAGCUCCUGUACCAAGCUUGUGCAUAGCAACCCCCAGAAUCUGUGGGAGGGAAGACAGCCCUGUGAUUACAGCUGCAGUAGGAAAUCCCUGCAAACGGAUUCUCCUGAUCAGCAGCAAUGACGAAUAUUAUCUCUCAGCAACCACGAAAGUUGUUCACCAUUGAAAAAAAUGAUUAACAACAAUAUAUGGUUCAAAUGUGGCGUAAGGGAAAUAGUGAUUUAAAGCCGACUCGUAAGUGGGAAUCGAAGUCAGCAGCAGGAUUGCAGAUUUCCCUGCUUGCAACCAAGCCGGAAAGAAAAAACUCCCACGUUCAUGAUGGCUUUGAGAAAAGAACAUAAAUCCACUGCCUGGUAAACUCUCAGGUAAGGGAUUGGUCAGCAGAUGCAGAAGCUUUUUUCGCCGGGUCAAUUCCACCGGAGGCAAGACCGUGACCGCAAACGAGAAAGGAUACGCUUGUGAAAGAUGCUUGUUGGCCAAGCCGGUCAUAAUUCAUGCUCCAGCGACACUAUGCCUGGAGGAAGGGGAAUGAAACAUUUAUGAAAAUGGCUCUUUCCCAGCCGCACAUCAUGUUCGUCAAAGGGAAGAAGGCAAAAAAAGCAGGAAUAAUUUCCCGAGAAACACCAGGCUGGUAGUGAUUUGUUUCUUUGUAUCUUUAGGACUAGAUUGCAUGUCUGAGGUUUUGGACAUGAACACACUGAGUGCUUCAUAUCCUUGAUUUUAUUGUUUCACUGCAUCUCAAAACAUCCUCCUGAACUACCCAGGAGUGAACUUGAUCUGCAGAGAGUUGAGGUGUAGCCUGAAGCAUCCCCAUCCGAAGCGAGACAUUUUCUUGCCAUGUCACUUUUAACCCUAAAAAAGAAAANAAAAAAAAAAAAAAAAAAAAAAAGAAAAAAAAAAAAAGCAUGCACAGUUUGCAUUCUAUCCCAUGAUAUCCCCACACUUGUAGCAGUAACAAUCAUCUUACUCUCCCAUUGGAAGCCCAAAAUUGAAGACACUCUCCCAGGGUGACACUAAGGCAAUUUAACAUUCUGUCAUUCUUCCUGCCACUCAUUAGGCAUUGUGAGGCCUUCUCUGAGACUCAUGGUAAUUUGAUCCAAGGAGAAGGGCACAGUAGUUCACAACAAAGAGUAGAAUCCAACUUUGGUCAGAAAAUAACGAGGUCU